GGGGAAUAUUGCACAAUGGGCGAAAGCCUGAUGCAGCAACGCCGCGUGAGUGAUGAAGGUCUUCGGAUUGUAAAGCUCUGUCUUUUGGGACGAUAAUGACGGUACCAAAGGAGGAAGCCACGGCUAACUACGUGCCAGCAGCCGCGGUAAUACGUAGGUGGCGAGCGUUGUCCGGAUUUACUGGGCGUAAAGGGUGCGUAGGCGGAUGUUUAAGUGAGAUGUGAAAUACCCGGGCUUAACUUGGGUGCUGCAUUUCAAACUGGAUAUCUAGAGUGCAGGAGAGGAGAAUGGAAUUCCUAGUGUAGCGGUGAAAUGCGUAGAGAUUAGGAAGAACACCAGUGGCGAAGGCGAUUCUCUGGACUGUAACUGACGCUGAGGCACGAAAGCGUGGGUAGCAAACAGGAUUAGAUACCCUGGUAGUCCACGCCGUAAACGAUGAGUACUAGGUGUAGGAGGUAUCGACCCCUUCUGUGCCGCAGUAAACACAUUAAGUACUCCGCCUGGGAAGUACGAUCGCAAGAUUAAAACUCUAAGUGAA
rnacentral:rRNA from 1 species